rnacentral:rRNA from 1 species
GAUGAACGCUGGCGGCGUGCUUAACACAUGCAAGUCGAACGGUGAAGCAGGAGCUUGCUCCUGUGGAUCAGUGGCGAACGGGUGAGUAACACGUGAGCAAUCUGCCCUGGACUCUGGGAUAAGCGUUGGAAACGACGUCUAAUACCGGAUACGAGGCGUGGGGGCAUCCCCAACGCCUGGAAAGAACUUCGGUCCAGGAUGAGCUCGCGGCCUAUCAGGUAGUUGGUGAGGUAACGGCUCACCAAGCCUACGACGGGUAGCCGGCCUGAGAGGGUGACCGGCCACACUGGGACUGGGACACGGCCCAGACUCCAACGGGAGGCAGCAGUGGGGAAUAUUGCACCAUGGGCGCAAGCCUGAUGCAGCAACGCCGCGUGAGGGACGACGGCCUUCGGGUUGUAAACCUCUUUUAGCAGGGAAGAAGCGAAAGUGACGGUACCUGCAGAAAAAGCACCGGCUAACUACGUGCCAGCCGCCGCCGUAAAAC